ACCCCUUCCUUUCUUUAAGUAAUUUUUACAGUAACCCCUGCUCCAGAUUAAUAAUGUURAUUUAAUAGCCGCAGUGUUUUGACUGGUGCAAAGGUAGCAUAAUCAUUUGGUUUUUAAAUGGAAUCUUGUAUGAAAGGGAAAACGAAUAAAGACUGUCUUUUAAGUAUAUUUUGAAAUUAAGCUUCUUGUAAAAAUUCAAGAAUUAUAUUAGGGGACGAUAAGACCCUAUAAAGCUUUAUUUUAAAAUGUUAAUUAUUAUAUAAACAUUACUUAUUUAAUUUUUAAAAUUUUACUGGGGCGGUAGCUUAAUUUAAAACUAAGUAUAAUUAAAAAUAUUGAUCCCAUUAGGAGUGAUAAUUUGAUUAAGUUACUUUAGGGAUAACAGCAUAAUUCAUUUAGGGAGUUCAAAUCGAAGAAUGAGAUUAUGACCUCGAAGUUGAAUUAAAAUUUAUUUAGGGUGAAGAAGCUCUAAAAGAUAGUCUGUUCGACUAUUAAAUUUUUACAUGAUCUGAGUUCAAACCGGAG
rnacentral:rRNA from 1 species